rnacentral:rRNA from 1 species
GAAUAUUGGACAAUGGGCGAAAGCCUGAUCCAGCCAUGCCGCGUGUGUGAAGAAGGUCUUCGGAUUGUAAAGCACUUUAAGCUGGGAGGAAGGGCAGUAAGCGAAUACCUUGCUGGUUUGACUUUACCGCCAGACUAAGCACCGGCUAACUCUGUGCCAGCCGGCGCGGUAAUAAAGAGGGUGAAAGCGUUAAUCGGAAUUACGUGGCGUAAAGCGCGCGUAGGUGGUUCGUUAAGUUGGAGGUGAAAUCCCCGGGCUCAACGUGGGAACUGCAUCCAAAACUGGCGAGCUAGAGUAGGGCAGAGGGUGGUGGAAUUUCCUGUGUAGCGGUGAAAUGCGUAGAUAUAGGAAGGAACACCAGUGGCGAAGGCGACCACCUGGGCUCAUACUGACACUGAGGUGCGAAAGCGUGGGGAGCAAACAG